AGGGGGAUUACAUUUUUUCAUGAAACUGAAAGGUAUGUAAACAAUCCUAACAUAUAUAACCGCUCGAAAAACGGAACGAACUUAUGGGAUGACCUAAUAAAUAUACCUUUAUCAAAUCCUCCAGUAAGCUAUUAUUGAUGAUAAAUUCGUAGCCCUAUUAUUAGUGAAUUUUCGAGAAAAUUUUAAUUGUGUCAUAAUUUUUUGUUCAACCAUCGAAUUAAAACAAACAUAAACUCAGCACUACGUAUUUAUUUACGUAUGAAAGUGAUCCGUUAAAGAUAACGGCUAGCUGUUUGAGUUAUAUGUCCUCCAAAUACAAAUAAAAAGAGAAAGGAAGAAGGAGAAACACAUGAUACUGGGAAAGAAGGAAGGAAAAGAAGAUAUGGAAUAUGCGAGUUGUUACUAUUUCUCACUGUCGUAAUUCGAUGGUGAAUUCUUCUUGAACCAAAGUUUUCAGCAUUCAAAAAACGCGAAAGUACGACAGAUCGCAUGUAACCCCAAAAUCUUCUACACUGACGUCACUUUAGGCGACCACCCCUAAACAUCCUCGAAACAGUCGACACAUCGUCACCCUGAUAAAGAAUUUCCAAAAACAAUAUCCCCACCAUCAUUUCCGUUGUCCUUGGUUAGUAUAUAAACUCCGAAUAUUGACGACCAAAUCAGUCUGAACUAUGAGCAGAUACUUGAACAUUGUAAGUGGUACCCAAGGGUCUUGGACUCUUGAGAAAUAAAGCUUUUUGUAUCAUCAAGAGAGUUUCUUUUUUUACGUGACACGCACUUCGUUAUCGACGAAAUGUUCAGUUCGCAUUGCUAUUUUAAAUGUGACUUUUUAUAAGUACAUUCCAUCGUUUUAUAUGGCUCUAUAUCUAUACAGAUAUUACUUUCUGGACGACCCUUGUAUAAUAAUGGUGUCACACGCUCAAGAAGGCCACCCGCUCAGAAACAAUAAUCAGGUAGAUGAAAUAUCCUGCAUGCUACAGUUAUUGAAAUAAUAACCAGUCAGUAACGGAAUAGUCGCCUCUGAUAUACAUCCGACGCUAACCCCUCCAAAGGGACUAAAACCUCAAUAUAAAAACCCUCCCAAA